rnacentral:rRNA from 1 species
CCUACGGGAGGCAGCAGUGGGGAAUUUUGGACAAUGGGGGCAACCCUGAUCCAGCCAUUCCGCGUGAGUGAAGAGGGCCUUCGGGUUGUAAAGCUCUUUCGCAAGGGAAGAAAACUUAUGAUCGAAUAAAUCAUGAGGUUGACGGUACCUUGAUAAGAAGCACCGGCUAACUACGUGCCAGCAGCCGCGGUAAUACGUAGGGUGCGAGCGUUAAUCGGAAUUACUGGGCGUAAAGCGUGCGCAGGCGGUUUUGUAAGUCGGAUGUGAAAUCCCCGGGCUCAACCUGGGAACUGCGUUCGAAACUGCAAGGCUAGAGUGUGUCAGAGGGGGGUAGAAUUCCACGUGUAGCAGUGAAAUGCGUAGAGAUGUGGAGGAAUACCAAUGGCGAAGGCAGCCCCCUGGGAUAACACUGACGCUCAUGCACGAAAGCGUGGGGAGCAAACAGGAUUAGAUACCCUGGUAGUCCACGCCCUAAACGAUGUCAACUAGUUGUUGGUAGAGUAAAAUCUAUGAGUAACGUAGCUAACGCGUGAAGUUGACCGCCUGGGGAGUACGGUCGCAAGNUUAAACUUCAAAGGAAUUGACGG